UUUCUUUUGACAUUUCUAAUUGUGCUUAGGAUCAAGAAGAUAUUUGGGCAGCAGAUUUAAAGAAUUUAUCUAUUGCAUCAAGAAACACAAAAGAUGAUCAACUUGACAAUCGCACUUCUUUAAACCGAUGUCUGGAGAAAGAGCUACAUUUUGUUGUAAAAGACAAACAUCUUUUGAAUUCGGAAAUUUCGUUAUAUCCAUACACAGCACUGGAAGCAAAUGAGAGUUUGAGAGAGGCAUCUGAACGUCUCCUCCAAUCACAUGGCAUCAAUUCUUCCAUUUUGUUUUUAAGCAAUGCACCAGUUGGUGUUGUAAAGAUCAGAUUUAAAGAAGACGAGGAAAGAGGGGAAAUUUAUCAGGGAGCAAAGGUGUUUUUCACAAAAGCGCAACUUCGUGUUCCUAGCAAGGAAAACACGAUUGAUUGCAAAGCUCCUUUUGAAUGGUUGACACUGGACGAACUUCACGGUGUAUGUGGCGACGAAUAUUUUCGAAGAGUAAGGACGUUCGUGGCCUAACGUGCUGCUGUUGGAUGCAUGCUGGAGAAGAACAACAAUCAGUGUUCAUGGACAAUAAAACCACUAUCUCAAUGACAUUUGGUAGAAUGACAUAUCUGGUGUGUCUGGAGAUUAAAAUACACGAUCUGUAUUUAUUAAUUUAUUUUUUACCUGUGUAAGAAAUAAAUCAAUAAAUGAAUUUUCGAGAACAAUGAAAA